rnacentral:sRNA from 1 species
GCUCUUGGGUCAUGCCUGCCCAGCAGAAAGCAGCUCCAUAGGGGAGGAGAGCCACGGAGGAUCUCACAGCUGCAGUCUAAUAGUAACACAGAGGAAUGUCUUCCAGGAGGCCCCUGAUCUUCUCUGCUCAGGGACCACUCUUAUCUGACCCAGAGACAGCACAUAUCUUUCCUUAAAGAUCAGAUCAAUAAAAUAUUUUAUUUAUUCAUUAAUUUAA